rnacentral:rRNA from 1 species
AAGAGAUCGGGAUAACACCUGGAAACAGAUGCUAAUACCGGAUAACAAUAGAUGAUGCCUAUCAACUGUUUAAAAGAUGGUUCUGCUAUCACUCUUGGAUGGACCUGCGGUGCAUUAGCUAGUUGGUAGGGUAACGGCCUACCAAGGCGAUGAUGCAUAGCCGAGUUGAGAGACUGAUCGGCCACAUUGGGACUGAGACACGGCCCAAACUCCUACGGGAAGCCAGCAGUU